CAGUAGCCACGGUAAUACAGAGGGUGCGAGCGUUAAUCGGAUUUACUGGGCGUAAAGCGUGCGUAGGCGGCUUUUUAAGUCGGAUGUGAAAUCCCUGAGCUUAACUUAGGAAUUGCAUUCGAUACUGGGAAGCUAGAGUAUGGGAGAGGAUGGUAGAAUUCCAGGUGUAGCGGUGAAAUGCGUAGAGAUCUGGAGGAAUACCGAUGGCGAAGGCAGCCAUCUGGACAAAGACUGACGCUCAGGUGCGAAAGCGUGGGGAGCAAACAGGAUUAGAUACCCCUGUAGUCCCUGUCUCUUAUAA
rnacentral:rRNA from 1 species